AACUAUUCAGCUAUCCUUUAUUUAUUAUAUGACUCAAAGCUGAAUAAAAUCUGUAAAUCAAUUAUCAAAUUAUCAUUAACAUUAAAUGAUUGGAUGUUCCAGACGAUCAAUUCGAAUAAUUGCCGAAAAUCGAUAAUUUGAAUAUGGGAACAGCAUUAUUUGAACUUUAUUUGGUGCUCAAGCGAUACGUCCAACUAGGAGAAUCAUUGUGUACCGAUGAAUUGGAAAUGAGUGGAUUUUAUCAAUGGUUCGAGACAAGUGUGACACACUGGCUUGACAUUUCAAUAAUAAAGGCCCUCAAUCGUAUCCAGAAAGCUAUAGAUCUGGAUCAACUAAAGGCGGUCGACGAAACCGUAAAAUACAGCUCUUCUGCUGUGGAUACUCUCUCAAUUUUUUAUCAAAUUAAAAUAUUUUGGCAAAAAGGCCAGAAAUUGAGGGCUCCUAUAUAUUUAUAGCUAAAAUUGUAAACGAUCUAUGUCGAUGCUGCAUUUUCUAUGCUCAACGAAUGUCACAAAGAGUCGAAAAGUUAACUUAAUUGGGGAUAAUAACAAGAU